GUCCUGCUCAAGCUGGAGACCCUAUAACAUUUUGGACAAAUGGCCGUCCAGUCUCCUCUUGAAAACUACCAGUGAUGGAGCACCCACAAUUUCUGGAGCUGGGAGGCGCGCUGAUAACCAGUCAAGGUCAACUGUCGUGACAUACCAGGAGGAUGGAGCCAUCAGAAGCUGCACCCCACAGGACCCCUUGGGGGGAUGUCAAUUGGAUAAUCCUGACUGGACCGUUGGGGGGGGUGUUUAAUGAUGCUUUCUAUUUGUGAUUUUCGCGCCUAUUGCCUCAGACCUUGUUUUUCUUUGGUUGCAUUCAGUUCAUGCUCAGUAAAAGUACCUUUCUCUAUGAAA